rnacentral:lncRNA from 9 species
GCUUAGGUAUAUCUUUAAUUUACGUAGUACCAAAUUGCACCCAGGAUUCACUGCACCAGUUUCUUCCCCCCACAACAGUGCCAGAGGGUCCCCAUACCACCCCAACACCCACAAGACAUGGGACUCCCCAGCCUUCUAACCUCUGCCAGCCCGAGGAUGGACUAGCCGGCUAGGGCUGCCAUAACAAAGUAUGGCAAACGGAGUAGCCUGGACAUGGAAGGGUCCUGUGUCAUGGUUCUGGAAGGUGGAAGUCUGAGAUCGGGGUGCUGGCAGGAGGUUCCUUCUGAGAACUGUGGGGGGAAACCAGGCACACAUCUCUCUCCCGGGUCCUGGUGGCUGGCUGGCAGGCUUUGGGGCUCCUUGGCUCAUGGAUACACCACUCCAAUCUCCACCUUCAGGUUCACACCGUGCUGUCCCUCUGUGCAUGUCUGUGUCACAAUUUCCUUUUUUUACAUUUUUUUUUUUCUUUUUAGGGCCUCCCCCGCGAAAUGGAAAAAAAAAAAAAAAAAAAAAAAAAAACCCUGAGAAGUCAGUGGAGAGGAAAGUGGAGCCAGUGAAGAUGCUCAGAAGACCAAUUCUUUUGUAGGAUAUGGAUUCUUUGUAUGAAAACAAAGGUAUGAAAAUAUUCAUCUAAGUCAGAGAGAUGUCUUCCCUGAAUUACUGCGUUCUAACAAAUAUAUCCUGACCAAACAUCUCUAGUGGGGGCAUUCAUCUCACCAGCUCUAAGUGUUUUAAUUUGCUUGGGAUGAUCAAUGACCUCCUUUUAAUCUGAAAAGUAUGUAAAUUCUUAAAUAUUCGAUGUCUUAUAGAGGCUUUUCUAAUAAAAGGGAAAGUAUAUAUCUUUACUUCUCUUAAAACGUUUCUGAUAUGUCAACCAAAAAACUUAAUCAGCAGUCGACAUAAAGGAGAAAUAGAGAAGUUUAUUCGAACAAAGCUGAGGAUUAUAAACCAGGAGACAGUCUUUCAGAAAGCUCCGACCCUAAAAAAAGUUUAAAAAAAAACUCCCUAAAAAAUUUUUUUAAAAAUAAAAAAAAGUCUUUCUUAAAAAAGUGAAAAGAAAAGCAAGCUCUGAGAACUGGUAGAAGUUGAAGGCAUAGCCAGAUACAUUUUCAAGAUAAGAACUAUACAUUAAAAUGACACACUGACAUUUUGCAUAAAGUUCGCCAAAGAUAUAUUUUCCAGAUCUGUACAUACAAGGCAAGAAGUGAGUCACCAUGUCCAUUACAGGAUUAGGAAAGGAAAAAUUAAUCUUCUAAGGAAUUACAUUGUUGGCCUUAGAAGAAGAAAAAAGCAAUGGUCCAGGAGGUAUUUCCGCCUUUGAAGAGGGAGACUCAACAUAUCUCAUCAUUGGUGAAUGCAAAUAAAAACCACAAUGGGGAGCUCCUGUCGUGGUUCAGUGGAAAUGAAGUCAACAAGUAUCCAUGAGGAUGCAGGUUCAAUUCCUCGCCUCAUUCAGUAGGUUAAGGAUCCGGCGUUGCCAUGAGCUGUGGUGUAGGUUGCAGAUGCACCUCAGAUCCCACACUGCUGUGGCUGUGGCGUAGGGCAGCGGUUACAGCUCUGAUUCACUCCCUAGCCU